CCUAUUCAGGAAAACAAGGGCCAUCUAGCAUGUCUAGCAUGGGCACUGUCCUUGCUCUGAUGGCAGGAAGUCAGGCAACCGGUGGGAAACAGAGACAUAGACUCUAGCACUGUCCCAGUGGGCACCUGGGCGUGCCUUGGAAACCCAACUGGGAACACAGAAUCUAGAUUCCAUGCAGCAUCUGUGCAUCAGGAAACAGAUCAGUAAACGUACUAGCUGGCUAUGGUCAUGACAGAGCCACCAGCAGACAAAAUGAGUUCUGAGCUGUAGGAUGCUCCUGAGGAGUAUUUUCCUUUAGAAAUGAACCAGGCUUAAGGGGUCUACAGGUUAAUGACAUCAAUAUACUUUCUGUCCUUCAGACAAGAGUCCCAUAUACCUGAGGUCUCUACUGUGCUGCAGUAGUCUUUGCUCAGACAGCAGAGGUCCAAAAGGUCCUGAGGCUGGGCAAGCAUCAGGGUGUGGGAGGCUAAGGCUACCUGGGUAUGUGGAGGGAAUGGCUCCCAUUACCUGAGUUUUUUUUCACUUCCAGAAGUCAAGUGACUGUUGACGAACCCCAAGGAGGUUCCAUUGAACAUGAAGGACACUCCCACAGCUCCUUUGUUUCCUAAGGAAGGAAGAAGGAAAAGAAAAAGAAUGUCAGCUGGGCAGACUUGUCAAGGGGUCAGAAGUUGAGGGGAACUUCUAACAAUGCCUCAGAACAAGACAAAGCACCUCAGACAUGAGAACUGGGACUGAAGAUGCAUCCAGGAAGUAAAUAUUAUCCUUUUAAGCAGGAGUAGGGAAGGUGAAGGACUCAAGACCCUAUCAACUUCUGAGGAUGGCACCUCAGUGCACAUUCUCUCUGAAAGUGGGGUACCACGGAGCAAUCCUCUACAUUUUUGGAAGUAUCCUGCCUGACUUCUGAGAUGCUUGGAAGAGCCUCCUGUCUCCCCACCCGGGCCUGGCCAGCUGCUCACUGUUUUAAAUGUCAUGCUGGUGACUUCUUGCAGGGAGUGCCUGAGUAUCUCCAGCCACUCCUUCUCUCCCAGGGGGUCCUCCUGGGUGCCAAUCACGUAGAUGUCAUGGGGGAUAUAGUCAGCAGAGUCGUCCCGUGUCUUUCCCUGCCCCUUGGAGAGAAACCAGGACGUGAUCUUCUUGGGAGGGGGUGCAUUACCUUCAACAGCAAAACCCAACACUGAAUGAGUCAAAGGCGGUUCAGGUCAAGGGCAUCAAGGGGGUUCAACACAGGGGAAGAGGAAGAUCACAUAGUUACAAAAAUCACUAGGGGCAAAUGCCCUGGAUGGAGGACACGGUGCUGAUACCACCUUACACGUCAGCUACGGUCAGAGCUCAGUGAGAUCUUGUUGUAAAGAUAACAUUACACUUCAAAGAAUGGAAACCCUGGGAGAUCCUCGUUGGAACCCUGAGCUAACUGAACGCGUUGCCAAACAUGUCCUAGGCUCUAGGGUGGCAGUAACACAUGAGCUGUGGAGUUUACAUUUCCAAUGGUGAGUAUCCGGGAUGGAGGCUUCUAACCCUACUGGCAGGAAACACCAAAGGCUUCCCGGAAGAAAGUUAGAGUCAGCUAAGGACUGAGAUGAAGAGGUGCCUGGCAGAGAAACGAGAGGGGCCUGCAACCUUCCUCAGCUUCCAUUUUGAAAAAUCAGGGAAUGAUGGGAGAUCUACUUCUGGAGAUACCCUAAGGAUGGGUAGAUGUUCUCCCCACACUCCAAGGAGAUCUAUGUCUCUUGGACAACAGAGAGACAAGAUGCUAGGAAUACGAAUAAUGAUCUCUGCCAAACUCUGUCUCCUGGGGCUCUCAGAGAAACUCAUGGAGACCUUCCCACCCUGCUCAUGUACAGCAGGGCCCCUGACUAUCACCCCCAUGUAUCUUCUGCUCGAAGGGCAGCAGUGGGAUGACCCCACCAUGUCCAACCAAAAGAACCCUUCACAGACAGACAAGAAAACUAGAAAGGUCCUUGUGCCACAUGCCUGAACCCCUAAGGAUGAGAGCCUAAAGCGUUAAUGAUAGGCUAAAAUACCCAUUAAAUUUGACUUUCUGGUGAAUGGAUGAUUUUUAGAAUAAGUAUGCCCCACGCACUGGUUGUCUGUCUGAGAUUCAGAUUUAAUUGGAUAACUGUUAAUUUAGUUCUAGCUCAACAGAUAUACCAAAACAUUAUUUAGUAUAGUUGACAAUAAGUAUAAUGUACAUAUUUAGUAUAGUAAUAUAUGGUAAUAUAUAAUAUAUAAUAUAUUUAGCCCAAUACAUAUUUUGUACUUUAACUUUUAUUUCUAGCUGAGUACUUACACCAAAUGAUUAUUUCACUUAUAUAUUUAUCAUAUGGAAUAUAAUACCAUAUAUUUAGCACAUAUAUUUUGUUUGUUUACUUUUAACUACACAUGUAUACUGAAAACUUAUAUAUUAUUUGUAUGGUAUUUAAAUUUAGGACCAUUAGGCUCUAUCAAUCGAUCCAUCUAAAUAUCCACCCAUCUAUUCAUCCACUGAUCUCUCUAUCUCUCUCUUCACUUCCUCCCUGGAUGAGCUGGGCCCAGACUUUUUUAUUACAGGUCUGGGGUCCCUUGGUAAACUGCAGAGCAAGCUACUUUGGCUACUUUUGGGGGGCACUAAUCCUAAAGCCUAGUUUGCUUGUUCAUCAUCAUUGGACAAAGGUAGAAUUCUCUAGAAAAGGGGUGGUAUAGAUGGGAUGGAUUCCAGGACUAUGGGUAAGAGAUAAAGGUGCCCCUUGGCCAUUUGCAGAUGCUGAGGCAGGAAGGGGGACCCAAGCAGAGCUGGGAGGAGGGAGGGGGCACAGGGACCCACCCAUGUUCCAAGUGCCAAUGAAGAUGGUGAUCAUGUCAGGCUCUGACUGCUCCGAGUGCUUGUUCUUCAUCUGCUGCAGGAGCUGGCAGAAGCCUUCUCUCUUCUGGAGGAGGAAGGGCAGACACACUUAGAAGGACCUCUGCCUCCCUGCACAUCGGCCUCUACAAAGGAUGUGAUCAGCUUAAAAAGUACUGAGGAGUAGUUUCAUAUGUGUAGUGUGUGUGUGUGUGCGUGCGUGCGUGCGUGCGUGUGUGCGUGCGUGUGUGUGUGUGUGUGUAUGUGUGUGUGUAUGUCUGUGUGUGUGUUUAGGUGUGUUAAUGAGAGAGGCAGCCACCUGCAGAGAUGCAGUCAAAGCCAUGAGUAUGUGGCUUCUUGGACCCAGCCCUUCUACUGCAAGGUUGUGAUAUGAAGCAAAAAAAUUGGGGACUGCACCAAGAUCCAACCACAUCAGGGUACUGCAGCAUGUUCUUAGUAAGGGACUCACAAAUAACUACAUAGAGAGAACUCUGUAGAGUCUUGACAUUAUGGUGCAGAAGUACUUCAUCCACAGAGAGGUGGCCACAAUACACCGAUGCCAUAAAAAGCCACUUGGCAAAAUGGCAUGUGUACCACCACUGCAGUAAAAAAAAAAUGCAUGGGGCAUGGCCAUGAUUGCCUGUAAUUCCAGCACUUGGGAGGCUGAGGUCAGAAGACGGCCAUGAGUUCAAGGCCAACCUGUCGUAUACAGUGAGCAUACCUGUAUGCUAGACAUACAGGCUAGACAUAGCAAUACUGCAAGCAUCCUGUCUCACAGAAGCCCAAGCCAAAGUAAAUCAUAAAAAACAAAUGAUGAUGAUGAUGAUGAUGAUGAUGAUGAUGAUGAUGAUGAUGAUGAUCCCUUAAAAUGUUUGGAAGGGGAAGUCCAGAGCUGGUUAGCGAGCGGUGAGGGCUGUGCUGUUUUUAUUUUAAGCUUUUGACUAUUUGUAUUUGCUACUUUUUUUGUAAUAUCAGUGAGACUGAGUUACUUAUUCGACAAGAGAGAAUGUAAGGAGACCGAGGCCAGUACAAUGGCUCAAUGGUGAAGACAUAUGCUGUGGAGUGGAGUUCAGUCCCUGGGACUCAUAUGGUAAGGAGAGAGAACCAACUCCUCCAAGCUGUCCUCUGACUGUGGCACAUGCUUGACCCAACCCCAAAUAAAUAAAUAAAUCCAAUAAAUUUUUUUAAAAACAAAAAUUUUCCCAGCUCCGAAAAAAAAAAAAGAAAAUUUUAUGAAACUAAGAAAAGGCAAAAGGGCAUGUUAAGAAAAGGGCCUCCCGGGGUUGGGGAUUUAGCUCAGUGGUAGAGCGCUUGCCUAGGAAGCGCAAGGCCCUGGGUUCGAUCCCCAGCUCCGAAAAAAAGAACCAAAAAAAAAAAAAAAAAAAAAAAAAAAAGAAAA